ACGCUCACUUCAGCAGCACGUAUGCUAAAACUGGAACUUUACAGAGAUUAUCGUGACUCCUGCACAAGGAUAGCAUGCAAUUCGUGAAGCAUCCUAUUAGAAA
rnacentral:snRNA from 1 species